rnacentral:rRNA from 1 species
GAUGAACGCUGGCGGCGUGCCUAAUACAUGCAAGUCGAGCGAACGGACGAGAAGUUUGCUUCUCUGAUGUUAGCGGCGGACGGGUGAGUAACACGUGGAUAACCUACUUAUAAGACUGGGAUAACUUCGGGAAACCGUAGCUAAUACCGGAUAAUAUUUUGAACCGCAUGGUUCAAAAGUGAAAGACGGUCUUUCUGUCACUUAUAGAUGGAUCUGCGCUGCAUUAGCUAGUUGGUAAGGUAAAGGCUUACUAAGGCAACGAUGCAUAGCCGACCUGAGAGAGGGAUCGCCCGCACUGGAGCUGAAACACGGUCCAGACUCCUACGAGACGCAGCAGUAGGGAAUCUUCCGCAAUAGGGGAGAACCUGGCGCAGCAACGGCGCGUGAGUGAUGAAGGUCUUCGGAUCGUAAAACUCUGUUAUUAGGGAAGAACAUAUGUGUAAGUAACUGUGCACAUCGUGACGGUACCUGAUCAGAAAGCCACGGCUAACUACGUG